rnacentral:rRNA from 1 species
ACAGAGGUCUCAACCGUUGUUCGGAUUCAUUGGGCGUAAAGGGUGCGUAGGCGGCGGAGUAAGUCAGGUGUGAAAUCUCGGGGCUCAACCCCGAAACUGCACUUGAUACUGCUUCGCUCGAGUAUUGGAGAGGAGAUUGGAAUUUACGGUGUAGCAGUGAAAUGCGUAGAUAUCGUAAGGAAGACCAGUGGCGAAGGCGAAUCUCUGGACAAUUACUGACGCUGAGGCACGAAGGCCAGGGGAGCAAACGGGAUUAGAUACCCCGGUAGUCCUGGCAGUAAACGGUGCACGUUUGGUGUGGGAGGAUUCGACCCCUUCCGUGCCGGAGCUAACGCGUUAAACGUGCCGCCUGGGAAGUACGGUCGCAAGAUUA